GGGACUUGACGGAAAAGAUGAUGGAAGUUGGAAAGAAACCGAACAAGAAGGAAAUUUUCAUAGAAAUGAUGAUAUGUUUGAAGAAGAAAGGUAUCCACCAAUUCAUGAUUAUUUUGAUCAACAAGGAUUUACACAGUCAUCAGAUAAAGCCUCACUGCUAUCUGAGACUAAUUAUGGCUUAAGAAACCAGAGAGAUUUUACUGAAGAUAUAAAUUUCAGG